AUUUUUUUAAAAUAAAGUCAAUAACUGAAAUGUAACCGCCAUCCUCUGUUGUUAACCUAUAAUUAGGUAGCUCGUCAAGAAGAAGUAGUCUGUAUUUUUGACUAUUUAAAGCAAGACGAAGCAAAAGCAACAUUCUUUUUUGAUUCCCGUUAAAGUUAAAGUCACUUAUAGGUAAAUCAAGUAUUUUGAGAUUCAAGGGGGAGAGAAUUAAGGGAAAAGAUUCACAAGAUUUAGGUGAAAAUUCCUUAUCUUGAGUUGAUUGGUCAUACAGUAAAUUCUUCUUUUUAUCAACAAGUCCAAAUAAAUCCAAUAAAUCUAAAAUUUCCAAGCUUGAACGAAUAUUCUCCGAAUCCAAAACCUCUAUUAGUUUUAAGUUCCCAGGAAAGUCUACUUUGAUUGGAACGUAAGCUAUACCAGACAAAAAUUCGAGCAUUCUAACAGAAUUCAAAAGAAUGUUUGGAUCAAUUUCUGAUACUUGCGUUAUGGUUUUAAUUCUUUCCAAUGACGAUUCCUUCAUCCUGUAGUAAUCAUCCUCUUUCUCAUUAUAGCUUUUGGUUUCAGUUGAUUUAUUAUUACAUAGGUACUGGCUAUAACGUCCUCUAUAAUUAUUUCCACUUAUGCUCCCACCUCUAAAAAUAGACAAAUACUUUCUUUUCUCUUGAACUUCUUUUCGUAAUCCGUCUUCCAAACCUAGUAACCCACCCUUGACUAAAUUCUCAGCCUCAUCGUUAUCAUCAUCAUUAUCAUCAACUCCUAUUUGCUCAUUCUCAUCUCCUAUUGUCAGUAAUCCCCUGUGAACAGUUUUGGCGCCUUUAUAAACUUCCAUAAUCCCACCUAUCACCUUUAACAAAGAAGUCUUCCCUGAACCAGUUCUUCCGACAAUACCAAUGACAUCGCCAACUCUAAUAUUCAAAUUUACUUUCCUCAAACAAGAGUACUGGAUAAGGUUGUUAUAGUUAUUAAUUGUUGAGGAAAAUGGAUCAUUUCUUAGUUUAAGGUGUUUGCAGUCAACAUUGUUCAAUGUCAUUAAUAAAGAAGAAUUCUCUGUUGAGUUAGAAUAAUCAAUCUUCAGAUUUUCACCAAACCUGUCAUCUUGUAUAGCCUCUAUGAGAAGCUUCAUUCUUGUUACUGCUAAUAGCUCAUUCUCCAUUUUUACCCAAUAUUUCACUGUUGAGGAGGUAAUCUUCGGAAUUGUUAAUCCUACACCAAUAAUAAAAAUUACUAUUUGUGGAAUAGUUUUCUCAUUUCCUUUAGAGUUUGGAAACAAUAUUGGAAACAAAACAUUUAUUGAUGUUAAAACUACUGGUAAUAAAAAAUCCAAUCUUAAUCUAAGCCAUGCAAACAUCAUAUUUUGACAAUAAAGUGGCGCCAUCAUUUCGAGCGCCCUUCUAUUGCAUCUUUGCAUCAUGUACGAGGAUAAAUGGUUUUGAUGAAUAUCGUCAAUUCCGAGGUUAAUAGAGUGUGCAAUAUCUGAUAUAGCUGUUUGAGAAUUCAGGAAAAGUAGUCUAAGAGUUCUGCAAGUGUUUAUAAAGUAUGAAAGGUAGUUCCAGUAUAUAAAUAACAAGAAAAGAAAACCAAUUGGAAUACAAGUCAUUGGAUCCUUAAAGUUAAUUACAAAUGAGAUAAUUAUAAAUGCGA
rnacentral:antisense_RNA from 1 species